GACAUAGGUGGCAAACGUUAUCCGGAAUUAUUGGGCGUAAAGGGUGUGUAGGCGGGCUUUUAAGUCAGUGGUGAAAUCUCCGGGCUCAACCUGGAAACUGCCAUUGAUACUAUUAGUCUUGAAUUUUGUUGAGGUAGGCGGAAUAAGUCAUGUAGCGGUGAAAUGCAUAGAUAUGACUUAGAACACCAAUUGCGAAGGCAGCUUGCUAAACAAAUAUUGACGCUGAGGCACGAAAGCGUGGGGAUCAAACAGG
rnacentral:rRNA from 1 species